rnacentral:rRNA from 1 species
UACAGAGGUCUCAAGCGUUGUUCGGAUUCAUUGGGCGUAAAGGGUGUGUAGGUGGCGCGCUAAGUCGGGUGUGAAAUUUCGGAGCUUAACUCCGAAACUGCAUUCGAUACUGGCGUGCUUGAGGACUGGAGAGGAGACUGGAAUUCAUGGUGUAGCAGUGAAAUGCGUAGAGAUCAUGAGGAAGACCAGUGGCGAAGGCGGGUCUCUGGACAGUACCUGACACUGAGACA